CUGGUUAAAACGCUUGCUGAAUCAUUUUUCAAAUAUUGAACAGCCCGUAUAGUUGUGAUUCUGUUCACUUUCAACUGUGUAGAGUUCGAAAUUUAAACAAAAACUUUACACUUAUUAAUUAUAUUAGGGCACAAUGAAAAAGGAGUGCAUUUCUUGUAAAAUCAUAUCAAUUUGUACUUUUGUAGGAAUUGGAGGUUAUUUGUUUUACGUUAGCCGAAAACAACCUCCUCUAUCAAAGUACAGCUUGAUUGCUCUGGGAACUGCCGCCGCUAGCGUAGGAAUUAUGCAAAUUACGAAUAAAUCAUUCGCUCGAUAGGAAUUAGAUCAGAUCAUGUUUUAUUGGGUUACAUACUUUUAAGUUACAUAAUAAAUAACAUCUUAUUUUCCAAC